rnacentral:rRNA from 1 species
GACGAACGCUGGCGGCGUGCCUAAUACAUGCAAGUUGAGCGCUGAAGGUUGGUACUUGUACCAACUGGAUGAGCAGCGAACGGGUGAGUAACGCGUGGGGAAUCUGCCUUUGAGCGGGGGACAACAUUUGGAAACGAAUGCUAAUACCGCAUAAAAACUUUAAACACAAGUUUUAAGUUUGAAAGAUGCAAUUGCAUCACUCAAAGAUGAUCCCGCGUUGUAUUAGCUAGUUGGUGAGGUAAAGGCUCACCAAGGCGAUGAUACAUAGCCGACCUGAGAGGGUGAUCGGCCACAUUGGGACUGAGACACGGCCCAAACGCCUACGGGAGGCAGCAGUAGGGAAUCUUCGGCAAUGGACGAAGGUCUGACCGAGCAACGCCGCGUGAGUGAAGAAGGUUUUCGGAUCGUAAAACUCUGUUGGUAGAGAAGAACGUUGGUGAGAGUGGAAAGCUCAUCAAGUGACGGUAACUACCCAGAAAGGGACGGCUAACUACGUG